UCUCCGUUGGUGAACCAGCGGAGGGAUCAUUACUGGAAUCGCAAGAUCCCACAACCCCUGCGAACCUACCGAAACGUUGCCUCGGCGGGCGCCCGGCCUCGUGCCGGGCGCUGAGCCUGCCGGCGGCCCCCUACUCUUGUCUCUGCAGCGUGGCAUCUCAGGGUCCCCGAAAACAAGUAAAAACUUUCAACAACGGAUCUCUUGGCUCUA
rnacentral:misc_RNA from 1 species